GUUUUUCUCUGUAUUCUAUUGCAUUUAAUCCUUGUUGUAAAGCACUUUGUGAUGUUAUCUAUGAAAAGUGAGGUAUAAAUAAAAUCUACUUAAUUAAUUACAUACAAAGAAUUCACACAUUAUAGUUAUUGUUUGACGAAGCUGCAGAGAAAAGUGCAGUAUCUGAUUCAUGUUUUUACUAAAAUAACAAUCUGAAUGUGGACAAAAGUUCAAGUGUUGCUUCAUCUGUGGUUCAUCUGGUUAAGGUUGGAAACAGCGAACUCCGGUGGCCAGAAAUGGGACUGAAGAAAGCUGUGAAAAUAGGUGAGCUGCAGCCACACUGAGGAAUAAUAUCUGACAGACAGUAAAUUACAGUUUUUUCAGUCUCUAACAAUCAUUUGUCCGAAACUCUAAACCCAACGAUCACAGCAUCAGUCUUUUUACCGUUCACACAUUUCAUGUCAUUUUCACACAAUAUCCAGUCAGUGAACACAUUUACACAACACUUACAUUACAUUAACAGACGAGCGACACCUCCCAACAAAACCAUGAUUAAUUUUUAUAUUAUUUACUAAUGUUAACUCACAACAUCCCACAAUAACAAAAACAUUAUUUCAAG